rnacentral:rRNA from 1 species
AGUCUGAUUAUGGCUCAGAUUGAACGCUGGUGUAUGCCACACGAUGCAGUCACAGAACGGCAGCACGGACUUCGGUCUGGUGGCGAGUGGCGAAACGGGUGAGUAAUGUAUCGGAACGUGCCUAGUAGCGGGGGAUAACUACGCGAAAGGUAUGACACUGCACAUAGCCCUUCGGGCGAAAGCGGGGACCUUCGGCCUGCAUUAGCUAGGAGCGGCCGAUAUCGGAUUAGCUAGUUGGUGGGCAACGGCUCACCAAGGCGACGAUCCGUAGCUGGUUUGAGAGGACGACCAGCCACACUGGGACUGAGACACGGCCCAGACUCCUACGGGAGGCAGCGGGGAAUUUGGACAAUGGGGAAACCCCGAUCCAGCCAUCCCGCGUGCGAUGAAGGCCUUCGGGUUGUAAAGCACUUUUUGGCAGGAAAGAAACGGCACGGAUAACACCUGCAACUGACGGUACCUGCAACAAGCACCACAAUGGCAUGCGCCAGCAGCCGUGUAAUACGGUGCAAGCGUUAAUCGGAAUUGUUACUGGGCGCAAAGCGUGCGCAGGCGGUUCGGAAAGAAAGAUGGAACUCAGAGUCAUAACUUGAACUGCAUUUUUAACUACCGAGCUAGAGUGUGUCAGAGGGAGGUGGAAUUCCGCGUAGAAGUGAAAUGCGUAGAUAUGCGGAGGAACACCGAUGGCGAAGGCAGCCUUCCCGGGAUAACACUGACGCUCAUGCACGAAAGGUGGGGAGCAAACAGGAUUAGAUACCCUGGUGGUCCACGUUCAAACGAUGUCAACUAGCUGUUGGGGUCUUCGCCUUCCUGCAGUGUGCAGCUAACGCGUGAAGUUGACCGCCUGGGGAGUACGGUCGCAAGAUUAAAACUCAAAGGAAUUGACGGGGACCCGCACAAGCGGUGGAUGGAUGUGGAUUAAUUGAUGCAACGCGAAAAACCUUACCUACCCUUGACAUGUCUGGAAUCCCAGAAGAUCGGGAGUGCUCGCAAGAGAACUGAACACAGGUGCUGCAUGGCUGUCGUCAGCUCGUGUCGAGAUGUUGGGUUAAGUCCCGGCAACGAGCGCAACCCUUGUCAUUAGUUGCUACGAAAGGGCACUCUAAUGAGACUGCCGGUGACAAACCGGAGGUGCGUGAUGACGUCAAGUCCUCAUGGCCCUGCGGUAGGGCUUCACACGUCAUAAUGGUCGGGACAGAGGUCGCCAACCAAGGGAGGGGGAGCCAAUCCCAGAAACCCGAUCGUAGUCCGGAUCGCAGUCUGCAACUCGACUGCGUGAAGUCGGAAUCGCUAGUAAUCGCGGAUCAGCAUGUCGCGGUGAAUACGUUCCCGGGUCUUGCACACACCGCCCGUCACACCAUGGGAGUGGGUUUUACCAGAAGUAGUUAGCCUAACCGUAAGGAGGGCGAUUACCACGGUAGGAUUCAUGACCGUGAAGUCGUGAAGGUAG